rnacentral:rRNA from 1 species
AUUGAACGCUGGCGGCAGGCCUAACACAUGCAAGUCGAACGAGUGGCGGACGGGUGAGUAAUGUCUGGGAAACUGCCUGAUGGAGGGGGAUAACUACUGGAAACGGUAGCUAAUACCGCAUACCAUCGGAUGUGCCCAGAUGGGAUUAGGUAGUGGGUGGGGUAAAGGCUCACCUAGGCGACGAUCCCUAGCUGGUCUGAGAGGAUGACCAGCCACUCUGUGACUGAGACACGGUCCAGACUCCUACGGGAGGCAGCAGUGGGGAAUAUUGCGCAAUGGGCGCAAUCCUGAUGCAGCCAUGCCGCGUGAAUGAAGAAGGCCUUCGGGUUGUAAAGUUCUUUCAGUGGGGAGGCGUUAACCGCAGAAGAAGCACCGGCUAACUCCGUGCCAGCAGCCGCGGUAAUAC